GACGAGGGGUCCUAGCGUUGUUCGGAAUUGCUGGGCGUAAAGCGCAUGUAGGCGGCUGAAUAAGUCGGGUGUGAAAUCCCUGGGCUCAACCCAGGACGUGCAUUCGAUACUGUUCAGCUUGAGUAUGGGAGAGGGUAGUAGAAUUCCUGGUGUAGUGGUGAAAUACGUAGAUAUCAGGAGGAAUACCGGUGGCGAAGGCGGCUGCCUGGCCCAAUACUGACGUUGAGAUGCGAAAGCGUGGGGAGCAAACAGG
rnacentral:rRNA from 1 species